rnacentral:rRNA from 1 species
UACGAAGGGGGCUAGCGUUGUUCGGAAUUACUGGGCGUAAAGCGUGCGCAGGCGGUUAUGUAAGACAGAUGUGAAAUCCCAGGGCUCAACCUUGGAACUGCAUUUGUGACUGCAUAGCUAGAGUACGGUAGAGGGGGAUGGAAUUCCGCGUGUAGCAGUGAAAUGCGUAGAUAUGCGGAGGAACACCGAUGGCGAAGGCAAUCCCCUGGACCUGUACUGACGCUCAUGCACGAAAGCGUGGGGAGCAAACAGG